GCCAAAUCCCAUCCCUCCUUCCAGGGAGAGUCAUGGGCAGUGCUGGGUAUGUUAGGCUGGAGCUGGAACAGCUGGCUUUGAGCCUGGACAUUCUCCCAGCUCUGCGGGAGGCAUCUCUUCAAUGCUCCGUGCUUCAGAUUCUCCAGUGGGACCAGAGGAAGAGUGAUUUAGAUCUCCUUCACAAGGACCUGGCUGCAGACUGCUCACUCAAGGAGAACAUCCUGCUUUGCACUGGAAUGAGAAGUCUCCCCAGCUCUGAUCCAGAAUUUGAGGACCCAGAGGAUAGAGCCUGCUGCCAGGCACUGCGAGCCCAGCCCAGCCCAGCCAGAACCACAUUCCCCAGCGUUUUGUCCCUGUACCUUUUGUAAUCAAUAUCAGCAAAAGACUUAGCACUCUCAAGGAGCCACCAAGGGCCAUUGGGCCACCACAGUGAUGUUGCGGGGUGGUAACAAAGGAUGCAGGAAGUCCUUAUGAGGAGGAUACUGUGAUGAGGAAGUGAACAAGAUGGGCUGUUAAUAAAAGACACAAAGCAUUGAAAUCUCUCGGAAUA
rnacentral:lncRNA from 1 species